AGAAUCAACGCUGGCGGCGUGCCUCAGACAUGCAAGUCGAACGCGAAAGCCCCCUUCGGGGGCAAGUAGAGUGGCGCACGGGUGAGUAACACGUAGGUAAUCUACCUUCGGAUGGGGAAUAACAAUCGGAAACGGUUGCUAAUACCGCAUAAUGCAGCGGCACCUAAUGGUGACAGUUGUUAAAGCGGGGGAUCGAAAGACCUCGCGUCUGAAGAGGAGCCUGCGGCGGAGUAGCUAGUUGGUAGGGUAACGGCUUACCAAGGCAACGAUCCGUA
rnacentral:rRNA from 1 species